GAGAGAAGAAAGCAUAGAAGAAGAAAGGACGAGGAAAGAAGAGAAAAAAAAAAGUAAAAAAAAAAGACACUGAAAUAGAAAAACCCAAAUAGUAAUCCAGUAAGGUUGAGUUAAAAGAUUCAACUACGGUUUUUCACAGAGUCUUUACUCUUUCCCCUUGACUUCAAACCAUACAAUAGUAACAUUAUCUCAAAUCUUUGUACCUUCUUUCUUUGGUAAAUGCAGAACGUAAUAGAUCUCAGAUGUCCAAAACACAUGGUUUUUGGAUGCUAUGGCUCCUUUCAGCUGCAUUCUUCACAGUUUCAGGGAUGGUUCCACUUCUCUGUUAUCCUGCUAGAUCAUAUUUCUCAUCUCACAGAUGAGUACGUAAUAAACUCUCUUGAAGUAAAUUGAAAAGGUUGAUGGGGUAUAGGAUUCGGUCGAGGCCCAUAAACUUUGAUCUGACGCACAUGAGUAUCCCUUCCGUUAAGAUGAUUUGACAGCACAGCUAUUUGUAACAUAAAUGUAUUGACAAAAGUUUCCCUAGGAUCAUUUCCAGAUAAGGAUAGAUAAACCCAGCCAGUUGGCUUUAGAAGCUCCACAGUCUUGAUCUCCUUCAAGUUGUGAAAUCCAUCGCCAGCGUGAAUAGAGAUCUUACUGGGGGUAUAGCUCUCGUCAAGCUUGAAAUCCACAUAAAGCACAACCAAUUGUAGCUUUACUUUCUUCUGGAAUUGAAUGUUCACCAAAUGAGGCUGUGCACCAUCAGAUUGCCAAAAGGAAUCGAGAUUGUCAUCUCGUAGAGAGAAGACACCAUUGCCAGGUUUGCAAGAGCUGACACUCCAAGCAGCCUUUUUGCCCAUUUCUCUGAGGUCAUCGUCCACAAUCAGGUGCUGACUCCAUCCUGUAAUCUUCCCUUCUUCUUCUCCCUCCGAUGACUCUGUUGCCAUUUUCUAUUACACAAUGCAAAUGCAACUCUAAAAUUGUUUCAACCCACAGAUAAAGAAAAAAAAAAACACAUAUCACUUUUGAAAGUUGGGUUUUGUGAGUAGGACCUUCAAUCAAAUCCAAGUACUAGAGGGUCAUUCACAAAAUUUAGAUAAUAUAUUAACCAAUGUUUUCAAACCUGGACUAGAAUGUCCUGGCAAGUUCAACCGGAAAAACUGAGCCAUUAGCUGGUCUAGGUUACCACAAAAACCAGAAAAAUAGAAAAGCUCUCAAAACCAAGUCACUGGUCAAAUGGAUGAGGCGGGCUUUUUUUUUUCUAAUUAUUUGCACAAAAUGAUGUGUUUUAGUGACAUUGGCUAACUACACACUUGGCAGUUAAGAGUAAGGAGGAUUUUAUUUAAAUUUCAAAGGAAAAAAAAUUGACUGAACUAAUCAUUUUUUUUUUUGUUCAGUUUUAUUGUUAAUUGGUUCAGUUUUUAUUUAUAAUUUUUUCAUCACCACCACUAUUUGGCCACCGUUGCUAUUAACACCACUACUCCUACUGCCACCACAACCACCACCAUCUUACUACCAUCGUCACUAUCUCCAUCAAUUGACCACUAUUAUCACCUCUGCUACCACCUAGCCGCCGCCGCUGCCGCCGCCACCACUAGCUUACUUUGCUACCACCACCACCAUCACCAUCACUAUUAUUAAUCGAGCGACAACGGUGGCUAAGUAAUGGUGGUGGUGGCGACAA
rnacentral:misc_RNA from 1 species